rnacentral:lncRNA from 1 species
GUGUAUUUUAAAAUAAAUUUUAUAAAGAAAAGAAAAGAAAAAACCAAAACAAAACAAAUAAAAAGUCUGUCCUAAAAUAAACAGGCUAUGUUGGCCUUGACUAAUUAACUACUAGUCUGAUAUAUUUCAAGAUGAUUCUUUUUGAAAUUUCCUGGUUUUAAUGAAUAAUUUUAAAAGAAUUAAAUAAUUAAUAAUUUAAAAAAUGUUCUUACUCUUAUCAGGCAUGGUGGUGCUUACCCAUAGUCUCAACCCUUUAGAUGUCCUUAAUUCCAGAAGGUGGGAGCCGUCCUGGCCAACAUAGUGAGACCCCAUUUUGAAGAGAAAGAUCUUAUUUAUAUGUAAAUCCUUUUUAAAAAAUCCCUUGAUAUUUCCCAGAUUAGAAUAUUGAUUUUUGGCAUGUGUGUUGCCAAACACACAGAAUUCAUGUGAGCUACCAAGUCAUGAAUAAGUUUUUUUAACGUUAGUAAUUGCUGAACACGUGGGUAUGCAGGAGAGCUAUCUAGUGCAUUUUUAUUAUUUGUUGAUAGAGACUGCCAUGAAAUUUGAGAUGCAAUAUUUUGGAGUCAAGACUCCUCUCUUCUUCAGUUGCUCUGUGGCAUCUCAGCUGGGAAAGGUCCUCCUGGCUUGUGUGGUUAACCGUGGCAGCCUUAACUUGCAUCUGUGGUCUGUUUCACUAGACAGCUGACCACAGACUCAUAUUUUUUUCAUAGAGACUUUAUGUUCUGAUGGUUGUUACAAGUCAGUAGAUGUAUUAAAUACCUGUCGAUGGGAAGACUUUGGGGGGAUGGGGAGCAGGGAUUAAACUGGGAAUGAAGGGCCACAGAGAGCCGACUUGGUUGGCUGGUGUGCACAAAUAUGUUCAAGUGUGGUCGCACGUGUCAUGCGUAUGUAUGGCAGUCAGAGGUUGACGUUGGGUGUCCUUCUUAAUCAUGUUCCACUUUAAUCACCGAGGCAGGAUCUCUCAUUAGACUUGGUAGCUGGCUCCCCCCCCACCUCACCCCACCCCGUACCCAUUACUUCCUCCUAGGCACUGGGAUUACAGGCAAGCUAUCGCUUCUGCAUGGGUGCAGGGGACAGAAAGCUUUUCGUGCACCAAGCCACUUGGCUAACUUUCCUCCUUUGUGUGAUUAGCUUGCAUCCACUGGCUACACGACACUUGUAGAGUGCCCUGAGAGCACCAGGUUAUUGCCCUGGAAGUGACCGUUUCUAUAGCUCCGUUUAUGUCACAGUGACUUGACAGACCAUUUCCAGUGUUACGACAUCUUUGUCACCGCACUACACUUAUAUUUAUGUUGGCCAGUUUCCUCUUUUGAUUGCUAAUCUUUAUGAUGUGCUAGGGAGGCAGGGGACAAUAUAGCUACACUCUCUGCUGUCUGAAGGUGAAUUCCAGCCUCCAGCCAUACAGAGUCUAAUUGCCAAGAGACUUAGAAAGAAAAGACCUGAUGUUCAUCUGUUACUCAUAUAUAGUGGUCUGUGGGCAGAAGGGCAGGCUGCCAAGUAUGCAUUUUAGUUACGUGCAGUCCAUAUACUGUGAUAACUGGAAUUUGAACCAUGUGGUUCAGGGGAGGCAUUUGUUGAUUAAAUCCAUAGUAACUGAGCUGCGGUAGGAUACUUGCUUAGUGUAUUCGAAACCCUGGGCUCCACCUUCAGGAAUUUGAAAGAGAGGAAGUUGGGGAUCAUGGGGGGUGGUAUGUUAGGGGAUGAGGAGGGAGGAAAGGAAAGGGAAAGGGAUGUAAUUGUAGUAUAAUCUCAAAAAAGUAUUUCAAAAACUAUGAUGACGUAGAAAUGUCUUCCUAAAAUCUGACCUGGCUAGCACAAAGAUGAUCACGUGGUUAGCACAUAGCACAUAAUUCGUGGGUUCACGAACACUGGCGUUUCUAGUUAAAAGUGCACUCUAAGGAGCUGAGACACUUUCUGCCCGUCAUUCAGACUCUUUCAGCCUUCAUUUCUCUUCUGUGAAAGGUCAGAGAGCCUUAAAGUUUCUGACCACUAGGUAUUUGUAUGGUAUGGAGACACAAGAGAAAGAGGGGAGGGGGAAAGGGAGACAGGGAGGGGGAGAGACCCAAAGAACGUCAUAAGGAUGACUAACUGAAAAGAGGAAGGACUAAGCUAUCUGGCCUCCUUCCUUGAUCCAGACUGACACCCCUCAGGACCUUGUGAGGGGCCUCCUACACCCCAGUGCUGGAGAGGAACUUGCCAUCUCCACUCCAGAGACCAGGUGCCAAGAUGGAAAACCUACAGGACAAAAGAGAAGCAGUGUGGGAAGCAAUCACUGAGCUGACAGGCAUAAAAACCAGACAAACAACUUUAAGGUGGCACACACCUUUAAUCCCAGCACUUGGGAGGCAGAGGCAGGCGGAUUUCUGAGUUCGAGGCCAGCCUGGUCUACAAAGUGAGUUCCAGGACAGCCAGGCUACGCGGAGAAACCCUGUCUUGAAAAACAAAAAACAAAAAAGCAAAAAACCCC